ACAAGGGUACCCACAAGUCACUACUUGGAGGACAGUGCCUCUUUGAGGCCUAUGCUUCAAGACUCCAGCCUGCCGGCCUUCGCAUGCUUGCUGGUCGUGCUCACAGUAGCUCUCUACACCCUGGCUGUGGCAAACUGAGUCUCAUCACCCAAGAUGAAGUGGCUUCAUUUGGUGCCGGGUGCCACCCAGGCUUGGACAUUCCAUGGCCUCAAGACCACAGGCUACCACCAAGUGGACUCUUGGGUAUCUGGCAGGAUGAGCACACAGCUGGCUGCUGGGCAUGGGUGAGGUCAAGGGCAUGAAGCAGUGGACAGCACAUUCUUUGUGAUCAUACUGCUCCUCCUGCCCCACGGUGGCCUGACAUCACAGCCUGCUGCUAGCUUAUGAGGGUCUGUGCCGUGCCCCACCAAUGCCUAGCCAUCUCCUUUCCCAUGAGUUUUGCCCAGACCACCAUCAGCCCUGUUGCCCGCCCCCAGGUCUACAGGAACCUCCAUAGCCGCUUGUGGACCCAGGUGGGCCACCUGCCAAUGCACAGGAGAGCCCCUAAUCCCCAGGAACUCUGCCAAACUGGCCUAUCUGGGCAUGUGAGUGAGGCAGGGGCAAGGAUGGGAUCCCCUCCUGAGCCCCAGUUACUGGACCCCACAGAAUCCAGGUGCUCUGCCAGCCCCCCUGCCUCUACCUGUUAGGCUGCCAAGCUGUGGGUGCUGGGGAGGGGGUCUUCCUGGUCCUGGGGCCUGUCUAUCCAUACCCAGAUCUCACACCAUUUUUUUCUUUAAAUGAUGGCUUAGAAACAAAAAAUAACAACUGAAGAAAAAGAUUUUUUCUUAAACUCAACAAGAAAGACUUUCGUGUUCAGUUUGCCUCUCUUCGUCUCCAGAGAGGGAGGGUUUGCCCUGUAGACUGCCAGCAUUCUCUCUUCCCCUAUACCUUACCCUCUUUAGCAAGGCCUAGAAUCUUCCAAAGGGGACAGUCCAAGGCUGCUGAACAGAGAGACCAGGAAGUCCCCAGAGCGGGGAUAGUUAAUAUUCCAUUUUAUGCUGUGUUCUUUUAGACUAACCCCAACUCUUUCUUACCCUUCCACCAAGUCCGAACCCCUCUAGGUAUAAGAGCUGAGCUGCCCACCCCCUCCUCCCCCUGCUUGCAGAGCUGUCUGUCUCCAUUUCAUUUUAGGGGAAGGGGUGGUAGUGGCCAUACCCAGGCCCCUUCCCAUGGAAGGCCUUAUCUUCUGUUCCCUAGGACCUGGGGAGGCCUUAUCACAAAAUAAUGUGGAGGGUGCUUUUGGCAGGGAAGUACAAAAGGAACCAGAGCCAGCUGAAAAGGCAGGAUGGCUGAGAGAUGGUAGAAGGAGGAGAGCCCUUGAUUUUGGUUAAUACAUAGAGACAGGGUCUCACUAUGUUGCCCAGGCUGGUCUUGAACUCCUGGGCUCAAGCGAUCUGCCCACCUUGGCCUCCCAAAGUGCUAAAAUUAUAGGUGUGAGCCACUGUGCCCAUCUGAUUUUUUUUUUUUCUUCAAGACAGGGUCUCACUCUGUUGCCCAGGCUGGAGUGCAGUGAUGCAUCAUAGCCUCAAACUCCUGGGCUCAAGUAAUUCUCCCAUCUCAGCCUCCCAAGUAGCUGGGACUACAGGUGUAUGCCACCAUGCCCAGCUUUUUAAAAAACAUUUUUGUAGAGACGGGGGUCUCGCUAUGUUGCCCAGGAUGGUCUUAACUCCUGGGCUCAAGGGAUCCUCCCACCUUGGCCUCCCAAAGUGCUGGGAUUACAAGUGUGAGCCACCGCGCCCAGCCCUUGCUAACAUUUUUGAUUCGCCAAUAUGUUUUGUAAACUAGAAGAAUAACAGAACACUGCAACUUUAGAGGUUUUCUCUCUUGGUCCUACCUUGUGUAUGUAGAAAGUUAAUGUAAGCUUUUCUUCUGCUGCUUUUAAGUAAGACCCUAUGCAUCCCCUCCUGUGUUUCAGCCCACUGGGGCAUUAUGCUGUAAAGGCUUGCUUGUUGCUUUUAGUUGAGAACUUUUGCAAGAUUGUCAGUGUACAUUUUUUAUGCCACUUGGAAACUUAUGUGACUAUUCACAAUUGUUAUCAGGUUGUUGGGGCCUUUACCAUAAUCUUGUACUUAGAAGCAGAGUUCUGGUUUUGUUGGACUUCAGACUGGAAGCUGUGCCUGUGUUCUGCAAGGAUAACCUCCAGAAAGAAUUCUGUGACCCUGAUGGUCUUGAUGAUUUUGUGCCAGGUUGUAAUUGACAUCACUGUAACUGACAAUGCUUCUUUUAAGCAGAGAAAUAUUCCUGAGGUGGCUUUGUCCAGUCACAAGGGGAUCUGUGACACUUUUGUUUUCUAUACGCAUGAUAAAAAAUAAAAAAUUGCCUGUCUGGGGAAAAAAUAA
rnacentral:lncRNA from 1 species